UACGGAGGGUGCAAGCGUUAUCCGGAUUCACUGGGUUUAAAGGGAGCGUAGGUGGCUUUGUAAGUCAGUGGUGGAAUCUUAGAGCUCAACUCUAAAACUGCCAUUGAUACUGCUUAGCUUGAAUCACGUCGAGGUGGAUGGAAUAUUACAUGUAGCGGUGAAAUGCUUAGAUAUGUAAUAGAACACCGAUUGCGAAGGCAGUUCACUAGGCGUGGAUUGACACUGAGGCUCGAAAGCGUGGGGAUCAAACAGG
rnacentral:rRNA from 1 species